rnacentral:tRNA from 1 species
GACCUUGUAGCACAAGGGCAGCACGUCUGACUCCAGAUCAGGAGGUUGUGUGGUUGAGUCACACCAGGGUAA